GGAGGGACCAGAGUGACUUGCCGAAAGCCAGCAGCUCCAAACAGGCGCAGCUGGGAUCUGAACACGGGGCCCGCCACGGAAACGUCGACUUCUGGGGAACUACCUGUUCUUCAUCUCAGUCUCUGCCGUUCAAGAGGGGUUGGCUCCAGGGCGGUCCAGGUUGAGGAUGGAGGUGGAGGCUGGGUUCCGGCUUUCUGGACUGUGAGGUCGGUCCCAGCCACAGCUGGGGCAGCCUCUGUUGAGGAGUAUGCGUGGCAAGGAGCUCUCAGCUUGCUCCCUGGGGUGGAAGUGACCAUGCUGGUCGUCCUUUGGAAUUUGUAGCAUGGAGGGGAUGAGGGACCAAGUUCAUAGGGACCCCCUCUCUACACUAGGUCCAAGCCCUGUCCCUGGAGUCAGUCACCACUGUCUAUUCUGGACCUAACAGAAGCAGAAGAUAUAUAAGAAGAGGUGGAAAGAAUACACAGAAGAACUGUACAAAAAAGAUCUUCAUGACCCAGAUAACCAUGAUGGUGUGAUCACUCACCUAGAGCUAGACAUCUUGGAGGGUGAAGUCAAGUGGGCCUUAGGAAGCAUCACCAAGAACAAAGCUAGUGGAGGUGAUGGAAUUCCAGUUGAGCUAUUUCAAAUCCUUGAGAUUGCUGUGAAAGCGCUGCACUCAAUAUACCAGCAAAUUUGGAAAACCCAGCAGUGGCCACAGGACUGGAAAAGGUCAGUUUUCCUUCCAAUCCCAAAGAAAGGUAAUGCCAAAGAAUGCUCAAACUACCGCACAGUUGCACUCAUUUCACACGCUAGCAAGGACAUGCUCAAAAUCUUUCAAGCUAGCCUUCAUCAGUACCUGAACCGAGAACUUCCAGAUGUUCAAGUUGGAUUUAGAAAUGGCAGAGGAACCAGAGAUCAAAUUGCCAGCAUCAGUUGGAUCAUAGAAAAAGCAAGAGCAUUCCUAGAAAAACAUCUACUUCUGCUUUAUUGACUAUACCAAAGCCUUUGACUGUGUGGAUCACAACAAACUGGAAAAUUCUUAAAGAGAUGGGAAUACCAGACCACCUGACCUGCCUCCUGAGAAAUGUGUAUGCAGGUCAAGAAGCAAGAGUUAGAACUGGACAUGGAACAACAGACUGGUUCAAAUUGCGAAAGGAGUACGUCAAGGCUGUGUAUUAUCACCCUGCUUACUUAGCUUAUAUGCAGAGUGCAUCAUGAGAAACGCUGGGCUGGAUGAAGCACAAGCUGGAAUCAAGAUUGGCGGGAGAAAUAUCAAUAACCUCAGAUACGCAGAUGACACCACCCUUAUGGCAGAAAGUGAGGAGGAACUAAAGAGCCUCUUGAUGAAGGUGAAAGAGGAGAGUGAAAAAGCUGGCUUAAAACUCAACUUUCAAAAGACAAAUAUCAUGGUAUCCGGUCCCAUCACCUCAUGGCAAAUAGAUGGGGAAACAACGGAAACAG
ensembl:lncRNA